AGUACUGGUUGUAGUAGCUGAAGAGCGACUCGAACAUGGCGGCCGGCUCGCGCAGGAUGGUGACAUAGACGGUGCUGGGCGGCAUGAGGCGCUCCAGCUCCGCACGGUCGAAGCGCAGGUGGCUGGCCAGCACGUGCGGCGGCCGCGUGGCCGGGUGCACGAAGUGCGCCGAGAAGUUGCGGGGGUAGCAGAACUGGUGCUCGCAGCUCGGGUGCGGCAGGGCCACCGUCAGGUUGUGGCGCUCGGCAAAGCGAAACAGGAUGUUCUGCACCGUCGUGCCUGCCGUCUUGUGAGUCUUCAGGAAGGCCACAGUCAUGUGCUUGGGGCGCGGCGGCGAGUUCCGCAGAGGAGGGCAGCUCAAGGGGAACAGCUUGGGGUACCUGCCAGGCCCAGGGAGUGUGCGGAGAGGAGGGUGUGAGGGGGCUGCCGCUUGACCCCUGCCCUUACCCAAGGACUGUGGGAUGCCCCACAGCGCGGCCCCGCCUGGGCUGCACUCAUGGAAAGGUCGAGGGCGGUGCUUGGUAGCCUCUAAGAUGCCCUCUAUGAUCCCUGCUGCCCUCCUGGUAUUCAUGCCCUUGAGUAUUCCCCUCACCUGAGUUAGGCUGGACUUAUCAUUGCAUCUAAAGAAGAGAAGAGGGCAGAAAUGAUGGGAUGUCACUUCUUAAAUUUCAUCAUAGAAAGACUGUGGCUGGCUAGUAUCUUGGUGUCUUUCACUCAAUCUGGGAUGACAGAUGAUGGGGGAAGCAAGCUGCCAUAUAGUGGGCAGCCCUAUAGGGAGCUACCACUAAGUGGGAAAAGCCCACAAGGACCUAAGGCCCUCAGUCCACCAGCCGGCUUGAAGACCUGAAGCCUGUCAAAACCACGUGAGUGAGCUUGGAAGCUGAUCCCUUCCAAUCAAGCCUUCGGAUGAGACUGCAUCACCAGCAAACACCUUGGUUGCAACCCCAUGAAAGACCUUGGUCCAGAAGUUCCCAGUAAGCCACACCUGGCUUCCUGACCCAAAAUAACAGAUGUUUGUGUUUUCAGCUGCUAAGCUUUAAGAUAAUUUGUUUAUGUAGAAAUAAAUAAGGGACAAAGACCCCUG
ensembl:lncRNA novel transcript, antisense to GAL3ST3